GGCGGCAGGUGGCGGCCGCGCCUCAGGCAGCGCGGAGAGCCCCGCGGCAGAAAAGAGGAAAAACGUCCCUUUUCUAGCACAGCCUCCUCUUCACCGGCUGUAUCUUGCAGUCAUCGUGCGCAGAGGUGGUGAUUUUGUCGUGUGAAAAGCGGCUCCUGACUUCAGCGACAGCCCCGGUGUGAAGGAGGCAUGACCCACUUCUCUUUGCCGCUGUCUAAACGUGAACAUCACGAACGCGUGAAUCGUGCAAUUUCCCUUUGAUUUGUCUGGCUCUGUGCACAGCGCCUGGCCUGCCAUAUUUCCUCAUGUUAUUCACAACUUCUCUCCUGGCCCAGAACUUUUUUAAAGAAAGCAAGCUGGAACCGAAUAUUUAGGAUGAAGUACAAUUUGUAAUGCAAAAGGAGAAACCCCUAUAAUGCGCGAUUUCUAAUAAAACUCAGCUCCUCUGAGUACCAGUCCCUUCCUUUCUGAAAUGAGGACAGCAGGAUACCUGCCCUUUUAAAAACAUUCAGAAAAGUGAAGAUGAUCAUUUUCACAUGCUGUUUUCUUUUUGUUUUGUAAUAAUAAAUGUUAGUAUAAGUCAGCAGCAUGGGAGGUGAACAAAGCCUCUGUCAACGAUUCACCUUUCCUUCUUUGACUGCCAAUUCCAUAACUUCGAAUGCCUUUCGGAGAUCUUUGUAGACUAAGCUGGAUAAAACCAAGGGAUGAACAAGCCAUACAUAGAAUCAAUAUUAUUAAAUGUGAAAGUGUGAAAUUAAUCAUCAAAAUUCUUAUUUGGCAUCUAACCAUCUGUUCUUUGUACUCUCAUCUUCUUCAGGUGGUGGUCUGUUUCACUUUGUGAGGUGGAGGCCAGUCCUUUCCCCAUGAUGGCUUCCAAGUUCUCCGCCUGGUACGCAGUGUAAGGUGUCAGGACAUUUUGGGUUCAGAGCAGCUGCUCUGGCUCCAUGUUCAGCCCAUACUUUGCUGCACCAGAGCCAUUGUUUGCAGCACAGUCUCUUGAGCAUUUUGAGGUACUGAGCACAGGUUGCCAAGUCACUCUGUUGGCUGCUGUUGUCCUGCUGAUGAGAUUCCUUUCCUUUGGAGCUUGCUGCCUCCACCUCAGGACAACACUGAGCCACAUGCUAGAGAGCAGGGAGAGGGGAAUGGCCCAUCUCUAGACACCUUUAUUCUGUGCCACCUUAAUUUCCCAGCUCCUGGGAAGCAUCACUCCUGCAUAGCCUGUUUGUCUGCAUCUGUGAGAGACUGACAGAGGUAAACCAGACACCAAGGCAGCAAAGCCAUCACUACUACACUGCGUUCAAGAAACGUUUAGAUGUUGUGCUGAGGGACAUAGUUUAGUGGGAAAUACUGGUGAUAGGUGGAUGGUUGGACUGGAUGAUCUUAGAGGUCUUUUUCAAGCUUGAUGAUUCUAUGAUUCUGCUUGCUGUUCCUGAGGAGAGAUAAGGCCUGUGGGAAUAGCUUUGUCACUGCCACUGAACUGAUGCAGGCCAGGGCCACUGCAGUGAGAUCCAGAGCAUCUUUCCUCCACAACGAUGCAAUUUUACCUCUCUCCCUUCUCUACCAGUCUAGGUGAUUACACACCUUGCUUAUGCCUCCAGUUGGUCCUGUUUAUAUACCCCAGUGACGACAAGGGACUUCAAAAUCCUUAUCUUAUGACAAAUAAAUGAGUAUUAGUAAAUAUAUGUUAAGAAUUACAGAAAAUAAUGCUACUACUAAUUAAACUGGCAACACCAUCUGCAGUGCAGCUGGCCAGGGUUAGCUUCACUUUGCUUCAGCAGCUGUGUCUACACUGUCUGAGGUGAAACUUAAGUUCCCAUUUGCCUGUCAGGCAGGCAGUGAGCCCAUGAGCGUAACUCUUUGAAGCCAAGGCCCUUUGCAUGGCUAAGCACGUCCAACAUGCUCCAGUGCCACCAGGCACACAUGGGGAAACAGGCCACCAGCCAUCUGUGGGGGCAGUGGAGCUCACUGUAACUAAAGCCACUCCAAGAGCUGCUCUUUCAAGACAGGUCCAGCUGAAACCAGAGAGGCUGUUUACUCCAUGCAAAAUAAAAGAUCGAAAGCUCAGGCAUCCUUUCUAAUCUAUAAUGAGGGAGUCUCUGUUGGUCACAUCAUGGAUAUUGCUCUAUUUCAGGAAGUCUCAUCGUGGGGCAGUUGUCCCCCCUCCCAGUGGAGGACACGAACAGGUGCCAGGGUUUUAUGGCCAUCCGGGCCUUCUCGGAUUGCUGAAUGGGUGGGGGAAUCCCUUCCAGAGCCUGGCUCACUGAGAAAGGAAUUCCAGGGGGUUCCUGGGGUGGAAAAGGCUGACAACCCAGCUUUGCUAUAAUUAUAGUAUCACAAGGAGGCAGUGUUAGAGGUGCAGGUGAUGGAGGCUAUUUACCGCUCCCCUCCUUCCUCCAGGAAGCACUUUAAUUUCCUUUGCAUCCAGUUUUAACUGCUCAGGAGUACUGAAAAUUCAACAGCUCUCAGUACUAAAACAAAAAAUCAAAGGAAGAAGAAGGGAGAGGAGAGUGAUUCUGUUUCUUGUAGAUCAACCUCCAUCCUUCAGACUCCAGGAUAAGUGUUUGCAGAAUAAGACCCUUCAGUGAAACACAGGCUUUGAAUUUCAAGCCCAAACUUCUUCCACCAUAUUCAGAGACUUUGUUGUCACACUGAUCCUUGUCAUCACAUCUGCUUGAUCAAAGCAUGCCUCGACAGAAAGUGGGGGUUGCGAUUGCCAAGCAGAAGAAAAUAGUAGCUCUGUGCCUUGUCCAAGCCUGCUCUUGCUCCCAUGGCUGCACUCACAGUAGGUGCCGCCUUUGCCUGCAGAGCCGGCAUUUUACACCUUUGUUUAUAAAAGCUCCAGAUAACCUCCUCUGCAGGAGGUGCUGCAGAAGAGCAAGAGUCUCUCCUAGUUUGUUCAAACAAAGCCGCAGGGUUUCUGAAGGAUGUGCAGGAAGCCCUGUCCAGGAAUUAGUAUUCCCACUAUCCUUUACCUAUUUGUCAAAACUUAAUUCUGUAUAAUGGGGUUUUAAAAUCUACGCAGCCUUUUCCACGUGGCUUCUCCUCCACACUAUGGUGGUUCUUUCCUGGACUAUAAGUGUUUGCACUGGCCAAAUGUAUCAGUGGAUUUAAAAAAAAUGAAACAGGUACUUUACAUGUAAUUAAUUUAGUGAUUUGCUCAGUUGCUGAUUCACGUGCAUAACCUCAAUUAACGUUAAUGGGAGUUACGUAGGCAUGUCAAGGGCAGAAUAGACCCCUAAUAAUCUAACAUGGAAUGUUAUUACAUUACUGCUGUAAUUAUAUCCUGCACACCCAUCAUUUCUACUUUGCUUCAUGAACUGUUCUUCAAAUGCAGUGGCCAGCCAUCUAUUAUGCUGUGUGCAUUAAUGCUGAGGUUACAGGGAGCAUUAUCAUUUGUUCCUCAUCGUCCUGCUGCCUGCCCACAAAGGAUGUAUGUACCCAAGCUGUCUGCUGGAUGCUGCCUGAGGAGAUUGCUGCCUUCUGCCUGCCCACCUCACCCCAGCCAGAGCUUCAUGCUGUCAGAAGAAAACCAUGUGACCUGGUUGGUCCCCAGCUGUCCCAGGUCAUGUGCUGCCCACUAAAUCUGUGGUGCAGGGGCUUAGCAGGAAAGGAGCAUAAGGAGAUGGCAGGCAGGCUUGGAAGUGGUGCUAGCAGUUCCAGACUGUCCAGCUGCAAUGCCUUUUCCACUGGAAACUUCAAUUUCCUGGGAACAGCCUCCGUCUCCCUUUUCCCUCUCAAGCCCUGUAGUCUUUGCAUUGCUGAAUAUUGAUGUAUUCUCAUUUUGCAAGGUUCUCUGCCACUUGAAUUUAUUUGUCCUUCUAUGUCAUUUUCUCCUCAGCACUUGCUUUCAACCUUUCCAGAACCAGAGAGAGAGAAGGGUGGGGGGAGACAGAUGUAAAUGAACCCACUAGUGUAAAUCAGUAUAGCUCCACUGACUACAAUGGAGCUGCACUGAAUUACUGUAGUUGAGAACCCGCUUUGUAGUGUCUCCCUCUUCUGUGUGUUUUAUAUUGCCUGUUGUAGAAAAAAAGCAGGAAAACACUGCCAAAUCUCCAGUUCUUUCUGUUUAGCUCUCUUAAGAGGUGCAGCUGUAUGCUAAUAGUCUACUUCACUAGCGGGAAAUAUGAAGGGCUGCAGCGUGUUUUCAUAAGCCAGGAAGCAGGCUCUGAUGCUGAUGUGCAAUGAGAGAAACAUACAGAGCACUUUUCCCCCUCUUCCCUUCCUUGCAUCGAUUUCACACUUUUGGUUCUGUUGACCUCCAUGGAGUCCCUCCUAAUUUACCGUGCCAUAAACAAAACCCGAGCGAUACCCUCUGAAAUAUGCAGAAAUGUUCUUGGCUUACAUGACGUGUUCCGGAGAUUUGCAAAGGCACCUCUCAACUUGGUGAGUUUCUUACCUUGUACACCUCCUAUGCUUCUGCUCCUCUUACUGGUGUAUUUUAUCUGGAUGCAUAAGAGAGAUGCAAACAGCAAUGCAAUCACAUGGCCUGCUGCUUUGUAAGAACUGGACGGACUCUGUUUCUGCCCUAUUUCCUAUGAAACAAGCAGUUUAAAGUUGUGGUCAUGGCUGGAGGAAAAGCCAAGCCCUUGACUGUGUCCACGCCCUGAGGAAAUUUGGAGUUGUGUUCUGCUGACGAAUUUCAGGCCAUGAGCAGACUGGAAGCACUUCACUUCGCCCUGCGCCUUGGUGCAUGUCCAAGGUGUGCCAUUAAUCAACCCAACGAUAUGGGCUGUUCUGUCUUAUUGCUUAAUUAAGACUCGUUGGCAAUUUACUUGAGAUUAAUACCUAUUUAUAUGGAGCUGAAGUUUCAUCUAUUUGGAGGAUGAGUUAUUGAACUGCAUGAUGUGAAGUAAAUCAAUAAAAUAUUA